rnacentral:rRNA from 1 species
GAUGAACGCUGGCGGCGUGCUUAACACAUGCAAGUCGAACGAUGAAGCCCAGCUUGCUGGGUGGAUUAGUGGCGAACGGGUGAGUAACACGUGAGUAACCUGCCCUUGACUCUGGGAUAAGCCCGGGAAACUGGGUCUAAUACCUGAUAGGAGCGCCUGUCGCAUGACGGGAGUUGGAAAGAUUUUUCGGUCAUGGAUGGACUCGCGGCCUAUCAGCUUGUUGGUGAGGUAAUGGCUCACCAAGGCGACGACGGGUAGCCGGCCUGAGAGGGUGACCGGCCACACUGGGACUGAGACACGGCCCAGACUCCUACGGGAGGCAGCAGUGGGGAAUAUUGCACAAUGGGCGGAAGCCUGAUGCAGCGACGCCGCGUGAGGGAUGACGGCCUUCGGGUUGUAAACCUCUUUCAGUAGGGAAGAAGCGAAAGUGACGGUACCUGCAGAAGAAGCACCGGCUAACUACGUG